rnacentral:rRNA from 1 species
CGCGUAGGCGGCGCACUUAGUCAGGCGUGAAAGUCCUGGGCUCAACCUGGGGACGGCGCUUGAUACGGGUGUGCUUGAGUAUGAAAGAGGGUCGUGGAAUUCCCAGUGUAGAGGUGAAAUUCGUAGAUAUUGGGAAGAACACCGGUGGCGAAGGCGGCGACCUGGUUCAUGACUGACGCUGAGGCGCGAAAGCGUGGGGAGCAAACA